rnacentral:siRNA from 1 species
AAUGAUGCGCAAAUGCGGAUA